AGCAGCCGCGGUAAUUCCAGCUCCAAUAGCGUAUAUUAAAGUUGUUGCAGUUAAAAAGCUCGUAGUUGAAUUUCGGGACUAAUAUGUCGGUCGUACUUUGUACGUACUAGCAUUAUUGGUUUCUCCCUUCUGACGAACCACGGUGUCAUUAAUUUGGUGUCAUGGGAAAUCAGGACUGUUACUUUGAAAAAAUUAGAGUGUUUAAAGCAAGCUCGCGCUUGAAUACAUUAGCAUGGAAUAAUGAAAUAGGACGUUUGAUUCUAUUUUGUUGGUUUCUAGGAUCGACGUAAUGAUUAAUAGGGAUAGUUGGGGGCAUUAGUAUUCAAUUGUCAGAGGUGAAAUUCUUGGAUUUAUUGAAGACUAACUACUGCGAAAGCAUUUGCCAAGGAUGUUUUCAUUAAUCAAGAACGAAAGUUAGGGGAUCGAAGACGAUCAGAUACCGUCGUAGUCUUAACCAUAAACUAUGCCGACUAGGGAUCGGAUGAUGUUAAUUUUUUAAUGACUCAUUCGGCGCCUUACG
rnacentral:rRNA from 1 species